ACAAGCAGCGGAGCGUGUGGUUUAAUUCGAUGCUACACGAAGAACCUUACCAGGGUUUGACAUGCAAGUGGUAGGAAGCCGAAAGGUGACCGACCCUUCGGGGAGCUUGCACAGGUGCUGCAUGGCUGUCGUCAGCUCGUGUCGUGAGAUGUUCGGUUAAGUCCGCUAACGAGCGCAACCCUCGCUGUGUGUUAUAUGUGUCACACGGGACUGCCGGUCUUAAGCCGGAGGAAGGUGGGGAUGAUGUCAAGUCCUCAUGGCCCUUAUAGGUGGGGCUACACACGUCAUACAAUGGCCGGUACAGAGGGUAGCCAACCCGCGAGGUGGAGCGAACCCCAAAAAGCCGGUCUCAGUUCGGAUUGGAGUCUGCAACUCGACUCCAUGAAGUUGGAAUCGCUAGUAAUCGCGGAUCAGCAUGCCGCGGUGAAUGCGUUCCCGGGCCUU
rnacentral:rRNA from 1 species